rnacentral:rRNA from 1 species
AUUGAACGCUGGCGGCAGGCCUAACACAUGCAAGUCGAGCGGCAGCGGGAAAGUAGCUUGCUACUUUUGCCGGCGAGCGGCGGACGGGGGAGUAAUGCCUGGGGAUCUGCCCAGUCGAGGGGGAUAACUACUGGAAACGGUAGCUGAUACCGCAUACGGCCUACGGGGGAGAGCAGAGGACCUGCGGGCCUUGCGCGAUUGGAUGAACCCAGGUGGGAUUAGCUAGUGGGUGGGGUAAUGGCUCACCAAGGCGACGAUCCCUCGCUGGUCUGGGGGGAUGAUGAGCCACACUGGAACUGAGGCACGGGCCAGACUCCUACGGGAGGCAGCAGUGGGGAAUAUUGCACAAUGGGGGAAACCCUGAUGCAGCCAUGCCGCGUGUGUGAAGAAGGCCUUCGGGUUGUAAAGCACUUUCAGCGAGGAGGAAAGGUUGGUAGCUAAUAACUGCCAGCUGUGACGUUACUCGCAGAAGAAGCACCGGCUAACUCCGUGCCAGCCGCCGCCGUAAGAC